UACUGGGUGUGGGGGACAAGUCAUUUUCCGUUUACAUUGUUGUUUAUAAAGAUGUGAGGAAUGUCAAAGAACUUCGGCCUUUGCUUAUGAAUGGGAGCUUAAACGUGGCGUUGGUUUCGGCAAAAAAGAUAGUUUCUUCAUUUCAACUUCUGGUGGCAGCCAACAUAGCCCUGCACAACCAGGCAGAUGGCUCACUGAAAACAAGGAAUGUCAACUCAGAGAUAAUAUUCUCUCUGUCCCCAGGAAAACAGAUAUCUGAGGCGUUUCGGUCG